CUUCUGGUCUUUCCCCGUUCUCUGCACAUCAUGUACAUCCUACCUAAGAACUUAUCUUAGGACUUUACAGUUGCUUCUCUUCUGUCUCUCUACUCCACCAACGACAAGUUAAUUCAGUUCUUGAAAAAGAUGCCAACUGACAGCCCCACAGAUUGAGAAACAUAUGUCUUCCUCCAGAGGGGCCUUGCGUGUGGAGAAGCAUGGGCGGUUUCUGAGGAGGGCAGCUGGGCGUGGGCAUGCGUGGAGACCCAGCCAUGGACCUCUACUCUCAAGGGCCAAGCCUGCCCCUCUAGAAACAGCCAAGGUGGGGAGGAUGUUUCCUUAACAAAGAUAUCACCUCCGGGCACAAUCUGACAAUCUGUCUGGCUUCAAGCUUCAGUUCUGCCUGAGUUCUUCCAGCUUUGUUAGAUUUUAGGUGGCUUGGGGUGGGAGGAAGAAUGAAGAAGAAACACAUCUUAUCUUGAUAGUGAAGACCCGGGGAAUGAAUUCAAGGGAAGGAUGAUGGAUGAAGUGGAAGAAAAAGAAGAGAAAAUAUCCUUCCUAGAU
rnacentral:lncRNA from 1 species